GACGAACGCUGGCGGCGUGCUUAACACAUGCAAGUCGAACGGUGACCCAGGGCUUGCCCUGGUGAUCAGUGGCGAACGGGUGAGUAACACGUGGGCAACCUGCCCCUGACUUCGGGAUAACUCCUCGAAAGAGGAGCUAAUACCGGAUACGACCACUUCGGACAUCCGAUGGUGGUGGAAAGUUUUUCGGUCAGGGAUGGGCCCGCGGCCUAUCAGCUAGUUGGUGGGGUAAUGGCCUACCAAGACGACGACGGGUAGCCGGCCUGAGAGGGCGACCGGCCACACUGGGACUGAGACACGGCCCAGACUCCUACGGGAGGCAGCAGUGGGGAAUAUUGCGCAAUGGGCGAAAGCCUGACGCAGCGACGCCGCGUGAGGGAUGAAGGCCUCGGUUGUAACCUCUUUCAGCAGGGACGAAGCGAAAGUGACGGUACCUGC
rnacentral:rRNA from 1 species